rnacentral:rRNA from 1 species
CCUACGGGAGGCAGCAGUGAGGAAUAUUGGUCAAUGGGCUUACGCCUGAACCAGCCAAGUCGCGUGAGGGAAGACUGCCCUAUGGGUUGUAAACCUCUUUUGUCAGGGAGCAAUUGGCGCUACGUGUAGCGUUAUCGAGAGUACCUGAAGAAAAAGCAUCGGCUAACUCCGUGCCAGCAGCCGCGGUAAUACGGAGGGGGCAAGCGUUGUUCGGAAUGACUGGGCGUAAAGGGUGUGUAGGUGGUUUGAUAAGUUAGAUGUGUAAUACCCAGGGCUUAACUCGGGUGCUGCAUCUAAAACUGUUAGACUUGAGUACUGGAGAGGAUAGUGGAAUUCCUAGUGUAGCGGUGGAAUGCGUAGAUAUUAGGAGGAACAUCAGUGGCGAAGGCGACUAUCUGGACAGCAACUGACACUGAGGCACGAAAGCGUGGGGAGCAAACAGGAUUAGAUACCCCAGUAGUC